rnacentral:misc_RNA from 1 species
GUUGCAUCAAAAAAUUCUGCAACCUAAGACAUUCAUUCAGUCAUUGAAAAUCCCCAAUUAGAUCAUUCCAGCAUGAUACCUUUUCAGGAAACACAACAUUUCAGAACCACGAGCAUGGAGAAGGCAAAAAAGAUCAUCUAUUAAAGGUUGCUUCAGAGUAAAUAUCUUAGAUGCCAGAAAAUUGCACGCCACUUGCCAUGCACACAGGAGAACUAAAGACUAACAUUUCCCAUCUACACUACAUGAGUGUUAUAUGUUAAUCAAUACUGGGGUUUCCAAAACAAAGUUCAAAUGAAAAUGUCAUCAUCACUAAAUUCUAGGGAAUUAAGGAACAGAAUAAAUAUAUUUCUUAGGGCCCCUAAGGUACAGCAUUUUUUUUUUUU